GUUACAUCAAAUUAAAGCCCUUUCUGUCCUUUAAAAAACGAUGUAUAAUAUGUGUUGGUGCAACAAAUUAGUAAAAUGCAAAUUGCAGUUGAACGCAAACAGCAAAAAAUGAAAAAAAUGCUGUUGUCAUUAAGUGAAAGACAAGCUUUUGAAGCUCUGUCCUUAAGGGGUUAACACAUUCUUCACAGCACAGGAAGUGGGGUAAUAGAGGGAAUCAUCAGGGCACUAGGCACUGAAAAAGGCAUAGAUAAGAUGAUAAAAUAAGAUGAGAUCCUAGCACCAAAAAAGUCAUUAAUAAACCUGCACAUGUCACAUAGUGAUAUCUGUCAAGCUGUGUAAGUCUCAAAAUGCCAGGUUAGAAACAUCCAAAUCAUUGGAGAGAGUAUAAUGAGAGCUCUGUGAUUCAACGGGUGAUAUGUAUAAUCCAAUCUAUUAGAAGCUGUGAAUCCAGAGAGAGCUGCCAGUGCCAUACUCACAUAAUAUAUGCAUCCCCAAAAUAAAUGGGGUGCACUGAUAUCACAGAGAGAAUGUAAGUAAGUAGAAUGUAUUUAUGAGUCAUGUUAGGAUCCCCAGUGACUGCCAGUAGAGAUACAAAAAUAAGAUGUACAAUCAGAGCAGAAUUAGAAUUCAGUGUGACCAGAAGAACUGACACUUACUUGUAAUUGAGAGGCUUUUCAGUGUGAAAAUGCUGUGUGUGUGUAGUUAGCUAGUCAGUGUGCAAAUCUCGGAG